AAGCAUAUCAAUAAGCGGAGGAAAAGAAACCAACAGGGAUUGCCCCAGUAACGGCGAGUGAAGCGGCAACAGCUCAAAUUUGAAAUCUGGCCCCUAGGGUCCGAGUUGUAAUUUGUAGAGGAUGCUUUUGGUGAGGUGCCGCCCGAGUUCCCUGGAACGGGACGCCACAGAGGGUGAGAGCCCCGUCUGGCUGGCCGCCGAGCCUCUGUAAAGCUCCUUCGACGAGUCGAGUAGUUUGGGAAUGCUGCUCAAAAUGGGAGGUAUAUGUCUUCUAAAGCUAAAUAUUGGCCAGAGACCGAUAGCGCACAAGUAGAGUGAUCGAAAGAUGAAAAGCACCUUGAAAAGAGGGUUAAAUAGUACGUGAAAUUGUUGAAAGGGAAGCGCUUGUGACCAGACUUGGGCGCGGCGGAUCAUCCGGGGUUCUCUCCGGUGCACUUCGCCGCGUCUAGGCCAGCAUCAGUUCGUCGCGGGGGAAAAAGGCUUCGGGAACGUGGCUCCUCCGGGAGUGUUAUAGCCCGUUGCAUAAUACCCUGCGGUGGACUGAGGACCGCGCAUCUGCAAGGAUGCUGGCGUAAUGGUCACCAGCGACCCGUCUUGAAACACGGACCAAGGAGUCGUCUUCGUAUGCGAGUGUUCGGGUGUCAAACCCCUACGCGUAAUGAAAGUGAACGCAGGUGAGAGCUUCGGCGCAUCAUCGACCGAUCCUGAUGUUCUCGGAUGGAUUUGAGUAAGAGCAUACGGGGCCGGACCCGAAAGAAGGUGAACUAUGCCUGUAUAGGGUGAAGCCAGAGGAAACUCUGGUGGAGGCUCGCAGCGGUUCUGACGUGCAAAUCGAUCGUCAAAUAUGGGCAUGGGGGCGAAAGACUAAUCGAACCUUCUAGUAGCUGGUUUCCGCCGAA
rnacentral:rRNA from 1 species